CAAACCCUUUUGUCUGACUAAACUGAAGCAGCAGCAGGCAGUUUCCGUGCAACAGCUCCAAUGAACCCACUGUAUGCUACCUGCUGAGUACGAAACUGCAGAAAUGCGGGAGGUGCUUUCCUGCCUUUCACUUUCUGCCCUUCCUCGCCCCAAAUUCGGGCGUGCACAAAGCAGAACCUCCUCACCUUUAACCUCCUCCUCCUCAUCGGCUCUCCCUACAGAUAAUCCCCGGCUAUUUCACUCUGAGAGGCUAAUCAGUUUAAAUACUUUGAUGCAGAUAAUAAGUUGGGGCAACAUAUUUUGUGAAUGUAAGCUCAGUGUCCCAAUAAUUUCACGUGAACUGCAACAACAAUCUUUGCUUCUCCUGUAGAAGC